rnacentral:piRNA from 1 species
AGCCACUGGGCCACUCGAGCGCAUC